rnacentral:rRNA from 1 species
UGGGGAAUAUUGGACAAUGGGCGCAAGCCUGAUCCAGCCAUGCCGCGUGAGUGAUGACGGCCUUAGGGUUGUAAAGCUCUUUCGCCAGGGACGAUAAUGACGGUACCUGGAUAAGAAGCCCCGGCUAACUUCGUGCCAGCAGCCGCGGUAAUACGAAGGGGGCUAGCGUUGUUCGGAAUUACUGGGCGUGAAGCGCGUGUAGGCGGGUGGUUAAGUCAGGGGUGAAAUGCCGAGGCUCAACUUCGGAACUGCCUUUGAUACUGGCUAUCUUGAGUCCGGGAGAGGUGAGUGGAACUGCGAGUGUAGAGGUGAAAUUCGUAGAUAUUCGCAAGAACACCAGUGGCGAAGGCGGCUCACUGGCCCGGAACUGACGCUGAGACGCGAAAGCGUGGGGAGCAAACA